AAAAUAGAGCUCUUUGGCCAUGCACACCAGUGGUGGGUUUCAUGUUGAAAUGAGAAUGCAUAAGCAGGUAAGAACACUCCAACACACACAUAACAUGCACACACAUUAAUACUAACUCUACACACACACACACACACACACACACACACACACACACACACACACACACACACACACACACACACACACACAAUCAUCAUUUACGCUGCUGCUACUCUGUGUAUCAUAUUUUCUGAUGCCCAGUCACCUUACCCCUUAAAUAUGGAACUGACCCUGUAUAUAGCUUACUUACUUUCUCGUGUUCUUCAUAUUUAUUUUUUUAUUGUUUUGUUUUUGUUCUACUGUGUAAUGCUUUAUUGAUUACUGAAUUGUUGGGUUUGGCGCUAGCAAGACAGGCAUUUCACUGUACUUGUGCACGUGACAUUAAAACUUGAAAUAUCUAUUAAUGAAUAUUAAUAUUAAUUUCUGAAUGGGCAACUCAUAUGAUUGAUUGUAAACUCAUAUUGAUGUGAGGGUGAUGGUACAAAUUUCUGAUUGAAUAAAUGGCCGUAAAAAAGCAAGGCUAUUUAAGUGACUGCCACUUUAAAAGCUGUGAAGGUAUUAGCAUUAGGUUCUGUCCAGUGUGAUUGCAAAAUAAUCCAGUGAGCUGUGAGUAAAAAAAGGGGAAAAACUGAAAAAGCUUCAGCUCGUUGUCCUGCCAAGUUCUGUAAAGGGAGCCCUGCCCGGUGAGAUCCCUAUUUCUGUGGCUCCCCCCUUUUCCCCUCUUCCCAGAUCCCUCUCUUUUCCUCUCUCCCUCUCCCCUGAUCACUCUUUUCCUCUCCUCCCAAUCCCCCUCUUUUCUUAUAGCCUACUGUGGAUAGAGACGGAACAGGGACACAUCUGGUCCGCUGCAACUGAAUCUGGAGAGACAAACACCAACCUUUCACACAAAGCUAACUUGGGUUCUCCUGCUGUCCCCUGCAGAUUGACGAGGGAUGUGUCUGCCUGGCCGGCACGGCAGCAAGGUCAAUCUCUGAGUGUGCACAGAGGGACGCAUCUCCCGGACAGCGUUGACUCUCCUGGUGUUCACAGCUGUUGUGGACUCCACCUGCACCCACCUCUCGCUCUGACGUCUCUGAAUACCAACAAGGAGGAAGACACAGA
rnacentral:lncRNA from 13 species